UCCUCUGCUUCAGAAGCGAAAAAUUUUGCGAUUCAAUUGAAUCGAUAGGAUAGUUAUAUUUGUUAGAUGAUUCUGGGUUGAUUGAGUAAGAGAAAGUUAGCCGACACUCUUCCUCUUCUCUUCUGUUUCUUCUUAUUCUUCUUCACCCCUGUUCUUUGCUCCUGUGAUUCUGAGAGUGAUUUUGAGAGUAUAAGAUCGAGAGAAAGGGGUGGCGGAAGUUUAGGGAAUAGAUCGUGAUGGUGUUAUUGAUUCAUAUAAUGAACUCGAACUCAGGGAAACGUAAAUCAGGGUUUGCUUGACAUGAAGCAGCUGUAAGAGAUUUCUGGGGUGCUGAGUCUUGAAUCAAGACAGGAAUGAUUUUGUUAGUGUUUAUGAGGAGAAUCAGAAAAAGGAUUGGUCUUAGAUUCGAUUUUGAGUUGGGAAUUGAAGAUGGUCUUGAUGGGUUUUGUUUGGAUUCUAUGGUAAUGCAGAUGAAGAUUACAGAGAAGAUGGUGGUGCUGUACAGGUUCUUAAAUCUGGUGGUGUUUGAAUUUUCAAUGGUUGUGUAGAGAUGAAAUUCAUGGAGCUACAGAUUUUGCUGUGACUGAAGGAACUAAUUGAUGUAUUCCUAGGUUAUGUGAUCUGGUAAUUGGUGCAGGCAAUUGAAGAUUAAGGUGGAGUCGGAGAUUUUGGAUGAUGUUUAUUUGUGUUGGUUGUGAGAUGAACAGGGAAGUGCUGAUGAUGGUUGUGUGGUGCAAACUGGUUAUGAUGAACUGUGUAGAUGGGGGGGUUGCAGACUCAGGGUUGAUGGUAGAUGUUAGAACUGAAACAACUGAAGCAUGGAUCUGAAGCUGGAAUUGAGAUAAAUUUAGAGUUUGUGGUUGAAUAGAGAAGAAUCCAAGAGCAACAAUUGAGAUGGGAUUUCAGAGAAGAAGAAAUUGGUUUGGCUUCACUGGUUGUGUGCUUGAAUUGCGGAAGAAUAGGUAGUGAUGGAGUUGAAGUAGUGGAUAUUGUGGGUUGCUGCUUUAGGAAUAUGUAGGUGAUUGUAUGGAGAUGAGCACAGAUCUGCGUGCUGAGAUGAGAUAAUAUUGAACCUGCAAUUCAUUGCAGUGAUGGAAUGAUGUUGUUGUAGGAGUCAGAACAUGGUAUUGAUGGUCUCAAACUUGGGUUUGGUUGUCACUCUUUACAGUGGUAGUUUGAUGAACUCUUAGAUGUAUGCUUAGGUCACAGGAGGUGGAUAUGCUGGUGGUAGUUGGUAUGAGCUGAAUUGAUUGUGCUCGAGUUGGUAAUGCAAUUGCAGUUGGAGCUGUUGAAUCUGUGACUGAGAUGAAGUUGCAGUUAAUGUUGCAUCUGGAUGUUGAGAUUGUUCGAGUCACUGGUGAAUUAUAGAGAUGGAGAAGAAGAUGUUCUCUGCUGGUGAUUGUAUAAUGGAAUGGGUUGCAAUUGCAGUCCAUAUUAAUGGAGGAGAUGAACUGUAGAUGUAUGCUUAGGAGUGAAUUAGUACAGCGUGAGAUGGUUUGAUGCUCAAUAGAUGUAUGUUAGGAAUUUACAGGGAGGUGUUGCUUGAACUGUAAGGAUUUGAGAUGGAUUGCUUCGCUCAAACUGGUGACAUUACAAGCUGAGUCAAUGAGGGAAGCAGAGAGGGGUCUCAACUGAAGUUGCAGUGAGAUGGUUGGUGAUACUCAAUGGAUGCGCAGUUCUGAAUUGCAGGUGAUGGUGAGCAGUUGUGGGAUUGAAGCUACAGAAGACUGAAGAGAUGGAGGUAAUUAUGGAGUUGGUAUGGUGAAGUUAAAAGAGAUGUAUUUGUUGCAAUUCAUGGAAGUAAUGUAUUGCAGGUGGUUUUGAGGUUGUGCAGUUGAGAUUUAAAUCAAGGAUGAAGCAGCUGAGAGUACAGGAAUUGCAGGAGCUAGAGAAAUGGAAUGAUGUGCCGAAUGUAUAUGAACUGAGCAUGAGAAUGGUUGAACGCAUGUUGGUGGGCUGGUUUGUAUUGUAGAGCAUAGUGUUGGUGUUGCACGCAAUAAGAAGAAGUGGAGUAAAUUUGGAGCAGCAGAAGAAGGAGCUCGACUCGGCGUUUCAAAUCAGUGAUUCAAGAAAAUCCAACUCUACUCAGGAGGAAGGGUUUUUUGGACAUUUUGACCCUGCCACCUAAGCGUUAACAGCUGGUAACUGCCGUUUUCCGUUUUUUGAAUAAAACGGUCAAGGCAAGGGUACUUUAACAAAUUUUUAAAAAACGGGGGCAUUUUUUUAGUGUAAUGUUAAAAGUAGGGGUACUUUAGCAAAAACCCCUUUAGAUAACCUAGUUUAAACUAUCUAAAAACAGGAAAAAAAAACAGUUUGCACAACUCUUAAGACAAGGAGAAGAGAGGAGUAUUCUAAGUACUUACAAUUAUACCCUGAUGGAUAAUAAUUAGUAAAAUUUAGAAACAAUUUAUAUUUUAAACUAUAUCAAGAAUAUUUGUAACUUUAUACGUUGAAAAACAUUUUAAAACAUC